CUGGUCUUGAACUCCUGACCUCAGUUGAUCCGCCCGCCUUGGCCUCCCAAAGUGCUGGGAUUACAGGCGUGAGCCACCAUGCCUGGCCAUAAUUUUUGUAUUUUUAGUAGAGAUGGGGUUUCACCAUAUUGGCCAGGCUGGUCUUGAACUCCUGACCUCAGUUGAUCCACCCACCUUGGCCUCCCAAAGUGCUGGGAUUACAGGCGUGAGCUACUUCACCUGGCUUUCUUUUUCUUUUUCUUUUUUUUAAGAGCUCUCGCUGUGUUGCUCAGGCUGGAGUGCAGUGGCUAUUCACAGGUGCAAUCAUAGUGCACUGCUCCUUUGAAGUACUUGUUAAUGUUUGCUAUUCUUUAAUCAUGAUGAAAGAGAUGGAGGGAGGUGGAAAGUCAGUAGAUUAGAUAUAAAUGAACUGACCUUAUUCUCCUCUUUUAGCUCCUCUUCAUAAAUUGCUUUGUAGACAUAACAAAUGUUAUAUAAAAAUAGUUGGAGGGGCUGGGUGUGGUGGCUCAUGCCUGUAAUCCCAGCACUUUGGGACACUGAUGGGGGCAGAUUACGAGGUCAGGAGUUCGAGACCAGCCUGACCAACCUGGUGAAAGCCUAUCUCUAUGAAAAAUACAAAAUUUAGCUGGAGGUGGUGGCACGUGUCUGUAAUCCCAGCCACUCAGGAGGCUGAGGCAGGAGAAUUGCUUGAACCUGGGAGGCAGAGGUUGCGGUGAGCCGAGAUCAUGCCAUUGCACUCCAGCCUGAAUGACGGCAAGACGCUGUCUCCAAAAAAGAAACAAAAAUGGUUGGAGGAAGCAAACACCCAUGAUUUUAAAGCCCUCUCCCAAGCAAAUCAUGUGCAUAUGCAAUUCUUGUUUCAACAUAAUGUAAAACACUUCAUAGUGAGAGACAAAAUGAAUGCACGAUUCUCUAGCAAGGCCAGUAUUCUUCAAUCAGCUUUGAGAACCUACAUUUCUUAUUUUGGUAAACUACUGUCAUGUUUCCUCAAUUGUGUUAAUUGAUCUACCAGGAAGAAGACAAAAAUGAGUUUCUAGUACCUUUAUUAAGAAACCCUGUUAAGAUUGGAAGGCUGAUGGAACCUGGGUCUGGACCAGAUCCGUGAGAUCAGAGUGGUUUAACAGCUUUUAUGGUCUGUUUUUGCUGAUUCUUACUUUUCUGUUUGUGCCUAGAAGUCUGGAACGUUUUUUCUUAGAGUUCCAGAAUUGAGACUGAAGUGUACCCAGAGACACAAAGAAAUACAGAAGUCCAGAAUGAUCAAAUGAGAUCACUACCCAAUGAAAUGAUGGGCCGAGGAGCCAGAAGUUGUCCUACUACCUGCUUUCCAGGUCCAGAUUCCACGAGAGCCUUCUGGGCUCCCACCAGAGACCCUCAGUGAAGACUCUGUUGAAGACUUUAAGACCAUGCUAGAAAGCCUCCCGGCAGAGGUUCAGGAAGUUCUGCUAUGAGGAUGCAGCUGGCCCCAGGGAUGUCCUCAGGCAUCUCUAGGACCUUGCUGGACGGUGGUGGCUGAGACCUGAUAUCCACACAAAGGAGCAGACUGUGGAAAUGCUGGUGCAGGAGCAAUUCCAGGCUGUCCUGCCCGAGGAGCUCAGAGCUCAAGCACAGAGAUGUCAGCCUGGAAUCAGAAUCACUGGCUAAGUCUUGCUGCUUGCUUCUUGCUCAGCCUGCAUAUGAGAAGUCAACCAAGCAUUCUCUUGGAUGCAAGAUCCAACUGCACCCAUGGGAAAUCUGAACUUCCACUUUCUUUGAGCUUGUCUUUGGUUGUAAUAAGAAUCCAUCAAAACCCAUGUCUGGAUCUCUCUUUGGCUGAGGCAGCUUUAUUUCCUACAGAAAGAGUUUCUCUGUCCUCUUGUUAGGACAAUCAGCCUGCUGCUUUGGGCUUUUCCAAGAGCCUAUUUUUCAUCUGCUGGAUGCCUCUUUUUUUUUUUUUUUUUUUUUUUGCACUGUGUGACAUGCUUUAAUAUAUAUAUUUUUUAUGUAUCCAAAGAGGUAAUCAACUUUAACUUUCAGAAUUCAUGAAUCUUGGUUUGGUGGCAUGAAUGAAAGGUUAUGUAACCCCACCAGUAACUCAUUUGGGGUGCCCUUGAAAUAUUAAAGUUUGGUCCUCAAUAAAUAUGUGCUGUGGUGAUUAAUCAGGUUAGCGCUUAGUAGUCAGCAAUUGGAGACAGGUGAGAUAAUUAUCAGGUGUAGAUGAGAGCUAGCGAUAAGAACUAUGGCUGUGGUGUUUAUUGUGCUGGGAAAUAGGAACAGUCCUGGCCUUUGUAUUCAAAGUCAAGAUUUAGAUUGGACAGAACUGAGAAA
rnacentral:lncRNA from 1 species